GACGAACGCUGGCGGCAGGCCUAACACAUGCAAGUCGAACGGGAAGCAGCCUUCGGGCUGUGGAGAGUGGCGGGCGGGUGAGUAACGCGUGGGCACCUGCCCUUGCGUACGGGAUAACCUCGGGAAACUGGGGCUAAUACCGUAUGAUCCGGCGGCUUUGGCGGCUGUCGGGAAAGAUUUAUCGCGCAAGGAUGGGCCCGCGUCCGAUUAGCUAGUUGGUGUGGUAACGGCGCACCAAGGCAUCGAUCGGUAGCUGGUCUGAGAGGAUGAUCAGCCACACUGGGACUGAGACACGGCCCAGACUCCUACGGGAGGCAGCAGUGGGGAAUAUUGGACAAUGGGGGCAACCCUGAUCCAGCCAUGCCGCGUGAGUGAAGAAGGCCUUAGGGUUGUAAAACUCUUUCACCGGUGAAGAUAAUGACGGUAGCCGGAGAAGAAGCCCCGGCUAACUCCGUGCCAGCAGCCGCGGUAAUACGGAGGGGGCUAGCGUUGUUCGGAAUUACUGGGCGUAAAGCGCACGUAGGCGGCGUGCCAAGUUGGGCGUGAAAGCCCGGGGCUCAACCCCGGAUGUGCGUCCGAAACUG
rnacentral:rRNA from 1 species